rnacentral:snoRNA from 1 species
UGAUGAUAGUGAGGGCAAUUUCUGAGCAUAGCCUUAAAUCUCUCCCAAGCUUGGUAGAGAUUCUCUCUUUCUUUUUGUUUGAAACUCAGAAUCUCACUUCUCAAUUG